rnacentral:lncRNA from 1 species
UAUAAUCUUCGUUUCAAUAUUGACAAUCUUUGGGUUCCUCUAAGGGGAAAAACAUUUUAGUUUUUUUUUAAAUAUAGUUUUUAAUGGUACUUUUAAAAACAUGAGCAUUAUACUGUUUUAAUUGUUGUGAGUCACCUUGGGUCCCCUAUCAGGAGAAAAAUGGCAUACAGGUAAUUAAUUAAUUAACAGUACAAUCCUAAAUCAACAAUGUGCUAGCCAUAAGGAAGUUUGAAUGGGAAAAGCCUUUUAGGCCAGCACAAUUACUCUGCACUCCUGGCUGACUGCAAAGACCUGCUGUGUUUGGCUUGGAGCAGAUGGCACAAAAGCAAAACAAGGAAUCGAGGAGUGGUGGAGUGAAGAAGCAGCUGAAGUCUAUCCAGACCUAAACCCUCAUCAGCCCACAAACACAACCACCAUGCCUGCAUAAAGCUCGGCCAAUGCCAAGAUAGCCUUAAGUAAUUUCUAGGCUGGGGGUGGGGUGGGGAGGGGUGGGAAUUUGGAUUCAACACAGCUUCACCUCGUUUUCAGCCAUAAUGGCUAAUGAGGAUUGCAUUUCUACAGUAAUUGGAUUGCUUAUUAUAUGGUACUUCAAGGGUAGUGGGAUACUCCUUCAUAGGAGGCUUUUAAACCAGAGGCCAAAUUACCCUCUUGCAGGGAUGCUUUAGCUAUAUAUUUUGUGCUUUGGCCAGGAGACAGAUUUGAUAACUCUUUAUGGUCCUUUUCCAGCUCUUGAGAUCUAUAAUUAUAAUUGUGAUAAGGGCAUGCAGUUCUUCAUUGUCUUCAGUGUGCUGCAUUAGCAUGAGGGAAAAAUAAACCAAAGAAGUUGAGCAAUGAGAAAGAUCAUUUCUCAUAAAUAUGCUUAGUACUCAUGUCAAAAGCCCAACUACAGAGUUCUGGGAAACAAAAUCAGAGUUUACUGCUUUAAAGGGGCCAAAUCCCCACUGUUCCUCAACAGUUACAACUAGGACUACAGCUGUCCUUUUGCUUCCAGAGGUGACGACCCACGUUCAACCGUUUCCUAAGAGGCAGAAAUCAA